rnacentral:rRNA from 1 species
GCACAACGCGAAGAACCUUACCCACCUUUGACAUGUACGGAAUCCUUUAGAGAUAGAGGAGUGCUCGAAAGAGAGCCGUAACACAGGUGCUGCAUGGCUGUCGUCAGCUCGUGUCGUGAGAUGUUGGGUUAAGUCCCGCAACGAGCGCAACCCUUGCCAUUAGUUGCUACGAAAGGGCACUCUAAUGGGACUGCCGGUGACAAACCGGAGGAAGGUGGGGAUGACGUCAAGUCCUCAUGGCCCUUAUAGGUGGGGCUACACACGUCAUACAAUGGCUGGUACAGAGGGUUGCCAACCCGCGAGGGGGAGCUAAUCCACAAAGACCAGUCGUAGUCCGGAUCGCAGUCUGCAACUCGACUGCGUGAAGUCGGAAUACGCUAGU